AACGCACAUUGCACCUAUUAGUAUUCUAGUAGGUAUGCCUGUUCGAGCGUCAUUUCAAACCUCAAGCAUCUGCUUGCUGUUGGAGCAUUGCGCAAUUCCCUUUUUUUAGAGGGAACGCAAGCCCUGAAUUAUAGUGGCGGAGCUGCUGUAGACUCUGAGCGUAGUACUACUAUUCGCUUCUGAAAUCUCGGUGGUGACUGCCGUAAAACCCCACUAUAUUUUUCUUUGUUUGACCUCGGAUCAGGUAGGAAUACCCGCUGAACUUAA
rnacentral:misc_RNA from 1 species